rnacentral:rRNA from 1 species
UACGGAAGGCAGCAGGGGGGAAUAUUGCACAAUGGGCGAAAGCCUGAUGCAGCUAUGCCGCGUGUAUGAAGAAGGCCUUAGGGUUGUAAAGUACUUUCAUCGGGGAGGAAAAACAAAACUAAUAAUUUUAUUUCUUGACGUUACCCGAAAAAGAAGCACCGGCUAACUCCGUGCCAGCAGCCGCGGUAAUACGGAGGGUGCUAGCGUUAAUCAGAAUUACUGGGCGUAAAGAGCACGUAGGUGGUUUUUUUAAGUCAGAUGUGAAAUCCCUGGGCUUAACCUAGGAACUGCAUUUUGAAACUGAAAUACUAGAGUAUCGUAGAGGGAGGUAGAAUUCUAGGUGUAGCGGUGAAAUGCGUAGAUAUCUGGAGGAAUACCUGUGGCGAAAGCGGCCUCCUAAACGAAUACUGACACUGAGGUGCGAAAGCGUGGGGAGCAAACAGGGAUUAGAUACC